AGUUCUCAUCUUCCUACCAGCCCUUUUGUUUUCCAUCUUCUCAUUUUCCAUGAAUAAACCCAAUUGUUUUAUCUGCAGUCUAAUCCUUGGUUGUUCUUGUUUUUGUCCUGCAACCAGUUGGCCCUUUUCUCUGGUUGCUUCUCCAUUUUGCUUCACAAGUUCUUCUUUUUCUGGUGCCCUGGGAAAAUUCUUACAAUCCCAACUUUGAAGCUCUAACUCAAUUAGGAACACCUACAAUUACAACAAAAAAUAUAGGUAAGGUGGAAGCGUCCUACAGCCUCACGGUAGACAUCUACUUUAUGUUGGGACAGAUAGAGCAUGUGUUUUAUCUUCGUAUUCACAUCCCAGAAUUAAGUUGCCAAACUGAGGUGGCAUAGUUGACUGAAGGACGUGAGAAAUGUCUCAUAGGAAGUUCUAGCCUCCAAGACAGGGGUCUUUGGGCUUUCUGCCCAGAAAGAGAGUUGCUUGACACAAGGGAAAGGUGAAGGCACCCUCUACUAAGAACUGGUGCAAGUCCAAGAAGUAGGUCUUUACGAAGUACUCCAAGAAAUAUGAGACUGAUGAAGGUAAAAAAGAUAUCCAGGCACAGUGGGAGAAGCUGAAGAAAUAUGCUUAUGUCACCCGUGUGUUACCUUACACUCAGGCAUCGAGAACGUGAACAAGUCAGCAAGAUAUCACCUACAGGACAUUUAGGUUGGACCCGUGCUGAAUAUUUUGGUUGAAGGAUAGCGUUGAGUAUUACUGGUCUAUGCCAAAGUGCAGAGAAAAUCUAAUAGCACAUUCUAUGAUAUGUGGUUCAUAUAUGACUAUAUAAUGUUAGAUUCAUGGGUGGUCUCAUGCACUUACUGUAACAAAACAAUUACCCAAUUAUGCACAUUUUGUACAUAGACUAUUGGUUAUUAGUAUCUAUUUAAACUUCAGUACGACUUCG